AUGCUGGAAGGAGAGGAUGGACCUGUUGAAGACCCCAAAGGUAUACCUGACCUUACUGUUCAGUUCUAUAAAAAACUAUUUGGCUUUACCCCCAAACUUAAUAUUCACCUCAAAAAAGGGUUUUGGGGAGAGGAUGGGAUAGUUUCCAGGGCUCAUAAUGAAAAACUUGAUGCUCCUUUUUCUGAGGAAGAAAUCAAGGCUGCUGUCUUUGGCUCUUAUGCUGAAGGGGCCCCAGGCCCAGAUGGCUUCUCCUUUUUAUUUUAUCAGCACUUUUGGGAUUUGAUUAAGCCAAACUUGCUUGCUCUUUUUGCAGACUGGGAAAAAGGGGAGCUUGAUUUAUAUAGGCUUAAUUUCUCCCUUCUUACUUUGGUUCCUAAAGAACCAAAUGCUGUUAGACUAGAAAGAUUUAGACCUCUUGCCAUGACCAAUUGUAGUUUUAUUUUUUUUUCUAAAUGCUGUACAAAUAGGUUUGGUCCAGUAUGUGAUGAUAUUAUCUUACAAAACCAAACUGCCUUUAUGAAAGGGAGGUUCAUUAUGGAGAGCAUAGUUGCUGCUCAUGAGAUUGUGCACUCUUUGGCCUCCUCUAAACUUCCUGGUUUUGUUUUCAAACUUGACUAUGAGAAAGCUUAUGACAUGAUAAAUAGAGAUUUCCUUUUUGAAGUGUUAUCCAGUAGAGGCUUUAGCCCUAAAUGGAUUGAGAGAAUUAGAACUCUAAUAGUUAAUGGAUCUAUUGGUGUCAGAGUUAAUGACACCAAUAGUGACUUCUUUAUCACAGGUAAAGGGGUGAAACAGGGUGAUCCUAUUUCCCCUUUACUUUUCAACGUGGUUGCUGAUGCAUUCACUAGAAUGUUAGUUGAAGCAGCCAGGUAUAAUUUGAUUUCUGGUGUUUUCCCAAACACCAAACCUUUUGGGGUCAUCAGUAUGCAGUAUGCAGAUGAUACUCUUCUUUUCAUGAGCAAGAAUUUAGAUCAUGCCAAAAAUCUCAAAUGGCUCCUGUCAUGUUUUGAGCAAAUGUCUGGCAUGAGAAUUAACUUUCACAAAUGUGACUUGGUUCCCAUAAAUGUAGAUGGGGAUGAGGCCCAACUUUUUGCCCAAACUUUGGGGUGUAGAUUAGGUGUGUUCCCAAUUAAAUAUUUAGGUGCUCCUCUUCAUUAUGCUAAGUUGAAGAGAGAAGAUCUACAACCCCUGGUAGAUAAGAUUCUUAAGAAAGCCUCAGGGUGGAGGGGACGUCUCUUAUCCAUAGGUAAGAGACGUGUGCUAGUCCAAUCUAAUUUGGCUAGCAUCCCUGCCUAUUUGGUGGGGGUAAUUAAACUCCCAAAAUGGGCAACCACUCUCAUUAACUCGCAGCUAGCUAAUUGCUUCUAG
rnacentral:rRNA from 1 species